rnacentral:lncRNA from 1 species
GUCCCAUAUGGAGCUUUCAUCAGGACAAAACAUAAUGUGUGUGUGUGUGUGUAUGUAUUUUUGUAUGUGUGUAUAUAUAUAUUUGUAGUCGGGGACAAAGGCCGAGAAUGAAAUAAGUCGGUUGUGUUGUGCCCCCUAGUUAGUGACAAAUGUUUCCAGCUGGUCCUAUCUCAUAGCCUAUCCACAGACAGGGUGACGUAAUGCGAUACACCCCCUCUAGACGUCAUAGAGUCUGCCCAUUCUGGUCGGCUAUUUCUCAUAUUGUAACACUCCGUCUAACCAGGGAGAGGGUGAUGUAAUGGAGUACACCCCCUCUAAAUGUCACAGAGCCCGCCCACUCAAAUCGGGAAUUACACGUGUGCUAUGCAGUGUAAAGACUGAUGCCGGCUGAGACUCCACCCAUCUAAGCUAUAUACCGGUUAGUUAACGGUGUCUUAGAGAGUUGGCAAAUCGAUCAGUGUUUACACAUACGGAUCAAAUUGAUUAGCAAAGUGGCUACUCACAGAACUUGAUAUCUAAUGACAUAUACGGUACCUGUAAUGACGUUUCAUCACUUUACUCACCCAGUUUUAAAAUAUGGGUAGUAAGUACUGCACUCACGUAACUGGUACAGUAUCUGGCCAAGGCAAAUAAUGAGAUCAAUAUACCAAAAAAUGCACAAAAAAGGCUUCAGUAAGUAUGCCCAAUUAUGGCUUGUAACAUAAACCACUUGUUCAGUAAAGACACACUUUCCACACAUACUAAACUGGAUGAUGUCAUUGUAAUACCUUUAAUGUAUAUAGUAUAUAUGCCUCAGGAUUCUUAUUCCAUAUGUAUUGGGCCAUAGCUUAUAGUCGGGAUAGUUGUUCCUUAUGUUCUUAAGUGAAUGUCUCUUCUUAUGCAAACCAUCUCUCUUUCUUACCUCUAAUUCUCCCUUUCUACUUAUGUUCAUACGGUUCAUUCUAUGUUAUCUAAUAAAACGAAAAAGUAUUGGAUGGCAUGUGCUGGAAUAAAGGGCCAUGAGGAACAAUUAAAAAAUAAUGUUGAACCGAUAUAUAUAUAUCUAUCCAAAAAUAUCAAAAAAUUCUGGCACUCUACCCAUAUAUCUUAAAGAAAUUCAAAGAGAUUGAUCAGGGUGCUUCUCUGUACUCAAAUGUAUAAAUAGAAAAAAUGAGCGCACUCGCUGGAUUUAUGAUAAAUCUUAUAUUAAAUCAUAAGCAUUGCUUAUGAUUUAAUAUAAGAUUUAUCAUAAAUCCAGUGAGUGCUCUUAUUUUUUUUUAUAUAUAUAUAUAUAUAUAUAUUUUUUUUUUACCAACACUGAAACAUUAAGGAAAUGUUCAGGUGGAGUGAUAUAUACGCCCAUAAUACACAAUUAAAAAAAAAAACCAAAAACAUUUAUCCUUAACCCCUUUAGGAUGCUGGAAGGAUAUUUUCUGUCAUUGCAGUCCUCCCCUUAAGGACGCAGGACUAAAAUUAACCCCAGAUUGACGCAAUAGUGGUGUUAAUGUUCCUGCAGUGUACCUCCAUGUCUGAUGCACACUGCUAUAUGCAAUCUCACUGAUUCAGCCCAUGUGAUUUGGUCUGACCGGGAGUCAGAGCGAUCACAGGUGCCGAAGUGAAACCUGAUCUGUCUCCCUGCAGCUGCGUGUGAGCUGUGAAGUGCAGGGAAACAGAUCAGUGCUUUCCUGUGUAAAAAAAAAAAAAAAGUAUUAGUGAGGAAAAUUCCACCCCCUUCACCCCUUCCUAGUAAAAUGUAUCCCUUUCCCUGCCCUUUGAUCACUGUCUUAUUUUGAAAAGUACAGUAAAAAAACCUAUUACACCCCGCCUCUUCUAAACCCCAGUUUCUCACUUUAUACUAAAUCCAAGUCUCUCCCUCUAUACUAAAUCCCAGCACUCCCUUCUACUAAACCCCUGGCCCCUGUUUUAAAAAAAAACAAACUAAAAACUAUUUUAGUCAACAUGCAGACUCCACUCACAUUGCCGCUGCCAGUUUGCGACUCUGGAGUCCAGCCUCUGGUGUACCCCCAAUGGCUCCGUCCGCAUCCUGUGCCAAAGCGGAUACUCCCGCUACUCUUUGAAACCCUGUGAAGGGUUAACGUCAUUGUAACGGAUCGCCUGGCACCCCGACUGGGUACCUCCUAGCGCUUCCUGAGGACUCCAAGCACUCUGGCAGACACCACAAUCACCGAACUGGAGAAACAAAUAAAUUCUCCCAAGCAUAUGAAUGCUGUAGACAGUUGAAUAGAAACCAUACGAAUAGGUUUACUCUCCUAGCAGUCAAACUGGAACAGCAUACAAUAAAUCCUUCCCCCAAUAAUGAGACGACACUUCACUUUGAGGGUUAAAACAGGAACUCCCUGUACUGUCACAUGCAGUCUCUUUUAUUCCCAAUCCACAAACAUAGUACAGCCCACAGGGCGUUACAAAACAACCAAUCAAUCCAUACAAUACACACAGACACUCCCACACAAAAUCCUCCCCUCUGCAUGUGAUAUGAUUACUGAACACAAUGGGUAAUCUCAUUAUCACCGGCAGAGGAAUACAGUUUUUACACAAUAUUUAUAACUUCUAAAAUAUACAUGUCACAAACAUAAAACAUACAUUUUCAUAAUCAAUCCAUUCAGGGAACAACAUAUUAAAAAAUGGCACGAAUCAGACCAGGGGUUCAAAAGUUAAGGGAAAGUCCUUUGUGACUAAAUGAAGCAUGGCUUUCCGGCCCAAAACAGUUUCAGAGUCUUCUAUCCUGGAGAUAAUUGAGAGUAAUUCAAUUAUCUCCCAGGACAGACACAAGACUCCAUUAAGCACAUGGUUGCAAAAAGACACAAAACACUUUAUGUAUUUUAAAGUCACCUUUUACACAUAAGACACAGACAUUUCACAUAUCCCCAGAUAGCUGGGAUCUGAGCGCACAAAACUACCGAAUAGCGCUCAGAUCCUAUUUACACAGUUCAAUUGCCAUGGAGCCGAAGUCUUUAACUACACGAAUGGGCUCCAUGGCAUAGCUCUCUGGGUUAACACAUUCACAUAAAGUCUGGUCCAUAGUCCAAAGACAAGAGGCAGGCAAGCAGCCCCCUCCAAGGACACGUGGCGAGGCCGGUUUCGCCACAGUCAUGUCUGAAUGUGACAUAGCGUUGUGUGCCUCUGUGCACCUCCAGGUCCUCCACUGUCCAGCCACGGCCAUCACUGACUAACACACACUCUCUGACAGACACACACAUUGACAGACACGCACACACACACACGGACAGACACACACACAUUUACACAUUCUUGCACACUCACAAAUCAGUGUGUUGCUCCCUACAUUUGGGAGCUGCUGUGGUGCCUCUCCCUGGGGUCUUCCUUCCUGUUUCUCACUUAGUAAUGCCGGGCCAGAAUGACUUCAUAUUCUGGCACCCGGCAUCACUACAGAGGGGGUGCGAGAGGGAGCCGUGAGGAGCAGGAAGGCUGAGCUCCCUCGCUGCAUCCUCCUUCCUCUUCACCCGGCUGGGUAAGUUUUAGCAGAGUAAGCACCUGCAAUGUGGGUAGAGCAGAUGCCUACUCUGCCACAUGUCAAACUAGCGGCUAACUGAGGCACAAAUAUAUUGAUUUGGGGCCGAGAGUUUGACAUGUUUGCUGGAUUUAGAUGACAAAGCUGAGAAACAUAUGAUGUAUUAUACUGCCGUAGCACACAUAAGGUUUGCAAAAUAUACAUUACAAACUCGUGUGUUGGAAUAAUCAGCAUACUAAAAAAAAGUGGGGUAUGGACCCAGUGUAAAAAUUCAAAGUUUGAAAAAAAAUUAAAUGGCUGUCUCUCAAAUGUGCCACUUCAACAUCCACAUAUACCUGGCGAAGUUACAUAGGGGGUAAUUGCUGCACUUAGACAACAUAGCUGAGCAACAUAUGAAGUAUUAUAAAGCCGUAGCACACAUAAGGUUUGCAAAAUAUACAGUACAAACUUACGGUGUGUAUCAAAAAGGCAGAAAAAAAUGCUAAUUACUACUACACUUAGUACAAGCUAGUGGAAAAAUGAUCCCACGCUAAGGUUCAUAAUAUGUCUUUUGAAAUACUCUCGGGUGUCUUUAAGAAAUAGUAUGCCUUUUUGGGGUAGUUGGAGUAAGCAGCUUGCGAAAAUAUUUCAAAAUAGAACAUGGACCCAUAAAAACCAUCAAUGAAACUUCACACUUACAAAUCUGAAAUUGACAGCCCUGUAUCUUAACAAAAUAGCAUCUAGGUCAUACGUUGGGCAUAUUGUUUUACUCAGAAGAGGUAACUGAGCAUACGUAUGGAGAAUUUAUGACAGUGGCACUUAUCAAAUGUACAAAAUAACCAGCAAAAAUGCAACAUGUAUGUAAAAAAAAAAAAUCUUUUUUUUUUUUCUCGCCACAAAAUUUGAAAUAAAUUGGUGAAAUGGUGGCAAGUUAAGGUAUAAUAUAUGCCUGAUAAUAUACCCUGAAAUAUCUGCUUUCUCAAAUGGAAGGCCUUUGUGGGGUUAUUUGAACAGUCAAACUCCUUUAAUGCAAAAAAUUCAGACGUAGGACCAUGCACGAAAAUUCUAACUAUAGAAACUGAAGUAGCAUGGUCUCCUAUAUGGCAUUGUAGCUUCUCAAAAUAUUGGCAAAGACAUAGCAUGGAGGUAUCGUUGUACUUAGCAGAUGUAGUUGAACACAAUAUGUUUUUUUUUGUACAGGAAUAGCACACACCAGCUUUACAAAAUACACAUUACAAAAACCUUGUAAUGUGCAUGUGCCAAAACAGAGAAAAAGUGGUAAAAAGUGUCAAAAUAACCUUAGGUAAAUAGUCUUAGAUGUCUACUUUAUAUAAAUAUAUAUUUUUGUGCAGCAAUUUUGUUUUCUGUGAUGGGUAUUUAACUUCCAAGACAAACAUGCCAACUUCUAAAAUUGUUUCACAUUGAAAUCAAAUUUUAGUCCUUGUAGUUUGUGACCUGUAACUGUCAAAACAAACUGAAAUCCUACACAUAUUAUGUACUCUGUAAAUCAAGACAGAUAAAUGAAUUACUUUUCCUAUGCUGGACAUAUUAUGCACACAUUAUUAUUGCCAAUACUUGGGGGUGGGGGGAUGCCCCUUUUUUGCUUUUUUAUAAUAAAUGAGAAUUUAUAUAUGUAUAUGUCCCAUCAAAUUAAAGCCCAUUUUCUCUAAAAAACAAUAUAUAAUAUGUGCUGGUACAAUAAACGAGAGAGAUGCAAAUUGCAGUUGAACACAAACAGCAAACAAUUCAUCAAGUGGAUGUCCAGCUUCUGAAGCUGUGUCCUUAAGGGGUUAAUGAGUGUUUUGUUUUUGACAUAGUUUAUGCAAUAGCGCAUUAUCAAGCAAGCCCUCUAUGGUUAGCAAUAGUAUGACAAGUGCAAACCACAAAUGAAUGCUACUAUAAUGAAGAUUAAAACCGUAAAAUAAUGUUACACCUUGUAUUAAAAAUACAAUAUGAACUGUUAUAUUCAUUUUUAUAAUUUUGUUUUAUUCUCCCUCUUUCUUCACAGUUUUCAUCUCAAAGUGAAAUUGUAGCUCGUGUAAUUAAAAGGAUUUGUGAAAAAAAGGAAAGGAAUGUUCUUGCCUUUGGUUAUGGGCUAGUAGAUGAAAACCGCUUGUCACAUGUUAAGUUCACUCCAAAUAUUUGUGUUUUUUUCCCAAAUACAACAACAGAAACUGUAAGCAACAGCAUACUGUGGGAGACUCUUCUCAGCCGGAUAGGUGAUGAUGUUAUGAUGCAUUUACUUGAGAACUGUUCACUGUUUAUGCUAGUCCCACCAAGCUGCUGUUACCAAAUAAGUGGACAACCAAUAUAUAACAUUACAAAUUAUCAUCAUUGUUGUCCUGCAUGGGUCAAACAAAGGCAUGAUCCAAUUUCUGAAAAUGUUUUAUUUAAUUAUGUUCAAAAGAAAAUUUCACCAUUUAAAAACUGUUCUUUAAAGAAAAGAAAACUAUCAAAUAAAACUACUAACAAAGCACGGCAGAUGCAUGUGAAACAUAUGGAAAAAAACAAAGACAUUGAAGUGUGCCACUACUGGAGUAGUCAUACAUUGCAAAGAAGCAAAAAAAACAUCUUGGAGAUGACAGCACCAUUCAGAAUUGUGAAACGGCAAAGUAUGGAUAUUUAUGAUGUUUCUAAGAAAUGCAGGAGACUGAUGCAUGAAAGCCAGUCAAAGACUUUGUCUUUUGUUGAUAUGGAUCUUAAAACCAAGGGACUUAUAGAAACAUGUCACCCAUUUUUAACUCCUGAUCAUUAUUUUGAGAGCUAUACAAAAUGUCUCCUUACCAGCACAUAUGGGUCACAUCAGCAAGUAUAUAAAAAAAAUCAGGAUAAAUUAUGCAAUGAAAUUAUACCCCAAGAUAUAUACCCUAAGGAAGCAUAUAGAUCUGUUUUCCCACAACUAAGUAAAAUUUCACCUUCAAAAAUUUAUAUUGAUUUUGGAAGUACAUUGUAUUCCAGUAGAAUAUCUAAAACAACAUUUCCUGGCCAUUUUAUACUGAAUAAAUUAGAAAGUAGUUCUUAUGGAAGUCAAAAACUUCUCCAAACUAUCUUUAUGAGUAAUUGUAUGUUUGAGACCCAAUAUGAAAAGCCAUAUCCAUUUGAAAGAUUGGGUGAGAAAAAACUCCCCAAACGUUACUGGCAAAUGAGGUAUUUGUUUCAAGAAUUAAUACAAAACCAUAAGAAGUGCCCUUAUUUGACAAUAUUAAAGAAAAAUUGUCCUGUAAGAUUUUCCAGAAUGUGCUCCUACCAAAUAGAAUGGCUACAAAAUACUUCUGCAAACCUUGAGCUUGGGUCUAGUACAAUGCAAACCUUUAAUGAUGUGAUAAGUGAUGCUGAACAAUGCUCUUCGUUAUAUAACUGUAGCCAAACCUGUAAAAUAACUAUUGAGGCUACAAAUUCUCCAUCAUGUCUGAAAACUGGAGCUAACAAGAGCACUCCUGAACUUGUAAAAAAGAAGAAAACUAUUACACAUGACUUUGACCUGUUAAUACUUCUUAAGCUGCAUAGCGGUGUCUGGGAAGUGUAUUCAUUUGUUAGAGAAUGUUUGCAAAGCAUAGUUCCUGAAGAGUUGUGGGGCUCAAGUCACAACAAAUGGUGUUUCUUGAAAAAUGUAAAGAACAUAAUUUACUCCGUC